rnacentral:rRNA from 1 species
UGGGGAAUUUUGGACAAUGGGCGAAAGCCUGAUCCAGCAAUGCCGCGUGUGUGAAGAAGGCCUUCGGGUUGUAAAGCACUUUUGUCCGGAAAGAAAUCCUCUGGGUUAAUACCUCGGGGGGAUGACGGUACCGGAAGAAUAAGCACCGGCUAACUACGUGCCAGCAGCCGCGGUAAUACGUAGGGUGCAAGCGUUAAUCGGAAUUACUGGGCGUAAAGCGUGCGCAGGCGGUUUUGUAAGACGGAUGUGAAAUCCCCGGGCUUAACCUGGGAACUGCAUUCGUGACUGCAAGGCUAGAGUAUGGCAGAGGGGGGUAGAAUUCCACGUGUAGCAGUGAAAUGCGUAGAGAUGUGGAGGAAUACCGAUGGCGAAGGCAGCCCCCUGGGCCAAAUACUGACGCUCAUGCACGAAAGCGUGGGGAGCAAACAGGAUUAGAUACCCUGGUAGUCCACGCCCUAAAACGAUGUCAACUAGUUGUUGGGGAUUCAUUUCCUUAGUAACGUAGCUAACGCGUGAAGUUGACCGCCUGGGGGAGUACGGUCGCAAAGAUUAAAACUCAAAGGAAUUGACGG